ACGGACUUCGGUCUGGUGGCGAGUGGCGAACGGGUGAGUAAUGUAUCGGAACGUACCUUUCAGUGGGGGAUAACGUAGCGAAAGUUACGCUAAUACCGCAUAUUCUGUGAGCAGGAAAGCAGGGGAUCGCAAGACCUUGCGCUGAUUGAGCGGCCGAUAUCAGAUUAGCUAGUUGGUGAGGUAAAGGCUCACCAAGGCGACGAUCUGUAGCGGGUCUGAGAGGAUGAUCCGCCACACUGGAACUGAGACACGGUCCAGACUCCUACGGGAGGCAGCAGUGGGGAAUUUUGGACAAUGGGGGCAACCCUGAUCCAGCCAUGCCGCGUGAGUGAAGAAGGCCUUCGGGUUGUAAAGCUCUUUCGGCCGGGAAGAAAUCGCAUAGGUUAAUACCCUGUGUGGAUGACGGUACCGGAAUAAGAAGCACCGGCUAACUACGUGCCAGCAGCCGCGGUAAUACGUAGGGUGCGAGCGUUAAUCGGAAUUACUGGGCGUAAAGCGUGCGCAGGCGGUUUCGUAAGACAGAGGUGAAAUCCCCGGGCUCAACCUGGGAACUGCCUUUGUGACUGCGAAGCUAGAGUAC
rnacentral:rRNA from 1 species